rnacentral:rRNA from 1 species
GAUCAUGGCUCAGGAUGAACGCUAGCUACAGGCUUAACACAUGCAAGUCGCGGGGCAUCAUGGUCCUAGCUCGCUAGGGCUGAUGGCGACCGGCGCACGGGUGCGUAACGCGUAUCCAACCUGCCCCACAGCGGGGAAUAGCCCGGCGAAAGUCGGAUUAAUGCCCCAUGUUCUCCACGGCGGGCAUCUAAGGUGGAGCAAAGGCCUUUCGGCCGCUAUGGGAUGGGGAUGCGUAGGAUUAGGCAGGCGGCGGGGUAACGGCCCACCGCGCCGACGAUCCUUAGGGGUUCUGAGAGGAAGGUCCCCCACACUGGUACUGAGACACGGACCAGACUCCUACGGGAGGCAGCAGUGAGGAAUAUUGGUCAAUGGGCGAUAGCCUGAACCAGCCAAGUAGCGUGCAGGACGGCGGCCCUAUGGGUUGUAAACUGCUUUUAUGCGGGGAUAAAGUGCGCCACGCGUGGCGUUUUGCAGGUACCGCAUGAAUAAGGACCGGCUAAUUCCGUGCCAGCAGCCGC